CUGCAAUCCACAAUGAUGCCCACAGCAGUUAGAAUUCUCCUAGACAAACAUGUAUAGAAAUCCCAGCACUGGAGAGUUGAUGAGAAAGUGGGCAGAUCGGCUCUAUUCACAGCUGGGGGAAACUGACCACUUUAACAAAAGGAAGAAUGCUCAGGUAACAUCUAGCCCAAAGGUCGCUCAGGAAUGUUCAAAGCACUCAGGAGAGAGUGAAGUAUCCCAUCUUUGGGACACACAAGUCCCACUCAGCAUCCAUUGAAAGCGCAGCACCAAAAGCAUUGAGAUGGUGGCAGGACCUCAUUUUCCCUCUUCUCUAUUCCCUUACUCUUUCUCCAGCACAGAAGAAGCCUUGAUCUGCUUAGAAGCACUCCCCAGCAUCUGAACCAUCUCUUCCAAGCUAUUCCCCCAGAAGACAGGAAGACUGGGCGGUUUCCUCUGUAACAGCUCCCAGAACUGCAGCUUCCAGUGGUUUCUCCCCACCAUUGCCCCUCUUGGUUUGCUGGAUUUUUUAAAAGACAAGACAGUGCUCAGGAAAGAACGUUCCAUUUGCUGUUAACUUCAGAGAUUUGCAGAAGAGUCCUCUGCCCUGCUUUUCUGAAAGGCACCUGGGGUUCAGGACAAGCUUCUCUUGUAGACCCGGGUGCAUUGCUUGCCAGAGAGAUCUCUGAAAGGUGGUUCUGCUUUCCAGGGAAC
rnacentral:lncRNA from 1 species